AGUAGUUGAUUUGGUGGAGGAGUUCAUUGGAGAGUUUGCGGUAGUUUGUUCUUUCACAAGUCUGUAUGAUGGUUUUGGGUGGGGAUUUGUAGGAGUUUACGGGCCUAACGAUGACCACAAUAGAAAGCUUCUUUGAGAUGAGGUCGCUGGUUUGUGUAGCUGGUGGGAUGACCCGUGGUGCAUUGGAGGUGAUUUCAACAUCACUUGAUUUUCGAGUGAAAGGUCAGGGGUUUCUAGCUCAAGGUCUGUUAUGGCCAUCUUUUCAACUUUAAUUUUCGAGCUGGAUUUGAUUGACCUAUCUCUAGUUGGGGUUGACUACACUUGGUCUAAUGGGAGGGCAUGGUCUAGGCUGGACAAAUUCAUUGUCUCUCCCUCCUGGGAGGCACACUUCCCCAACCUAUGCCAAAAAAGCCUCCCCAAGCUCUACUCGGAUCACUUCCCCCUCUUAUUGGAUUGCAUGGGUCUCCAUGAGGGGUGGAGAUACUUUAAAUUCGAGAAUAUGUAGUUGAAGGUAGAUGAGUUUACAGAUAAGAUUAGAUCGUGGUGGUCCUCAUAUCAGAUCUUGGUACUCCCAGUUUUGUUUUAGCAUGGAAAUUUAAAAGCUUGAAAAUGACCUAAAAAAAUGGAAUACGGAAGUUUUUGGAAACAUAAAUGACCAAAGGAAUAAUCCAUUUCAAGAACUGCUGCGUUUCGAGGUAAAAGAGGUGACUGGGGCCGUCUCGGAUGAUGAGAAGGUAAGGAAAAUGGUUGUAGUAGCUGAGCUGGAAAAAAUACACUCAUGGAGGAGAUAUCCUGGAGGCAAAAAUCUCGGGUCCUUCGGUUGAAGGAAGGGGAUAAGAGCACAAAGUUUUUUCAUCGAGUAGCUGACUCCCAUCGAAGAACCAAUGCCAUCGAGGUUCUUCAUUCGGAAGAGAGGGUUCUUUCAGACAAUGUAGCUAUAAAGGAUCACAUUGUCCACUAUUAUGACCUUCUCCUAAAGGAGCAACAUUGUUGGAGGCCCAAGGUCGAUGGGCUGAUUUUUGAUUCUAUUGAUCCACCAAGUCUUGGUUGGAGAGAGUAUUAAGAGGAGGUGCUUAAAGUUUUAAAGGGGAUGGUAAAAGACAAGGCCUUGAGUCUAGAUGGUUUCACAGUGGCUUUCUUCCAGGCUAGUUGGGACAUUGUCAAGGAGGACAUCUUGAAGGUCUCUCUCAAAUUUCACUCAUUAAUGAAUUUUGAGAAAAGCCUCAAUGUUUUUUUUAUCGUCCUUUUUUCGAAAAGGGCAAGGUCAGUGGAGGUGUAAGAUUUUCGUCCCAUAAGUUUGGUAAGCGGGGUUUACAUAAUCAUCUCCAAAGUGCUAGCCCAGCGGUUGAGCGUAGUCAUGGGGAAGAUCAUCUCGACGUCCCAAAAUGCCUUUGUAAAAGGAAGGCAAAUACUAGACUUGGUCCUUAUUGCGAAUGAAUGCUUGGAGAGUAGAGUCAGAGCCGGUAUUCCAGGUAUCUUAUGCAAAUUGGAUAUGGAGAAAGUUUUUGAUCAUGUAAAUUGGGAUUUCUUGGUGUAUAUACUUGGUAGGUACGACUUUGGGGAAAGGUCGUGCCAGUGGAUGAAGCAUUAUAUCACAACGGUCAGAUUCUCUGUGUUGGUUAAUGGCACCCCCGAUAGCUCUCGGGGCUUGAGGCAAGGGGACCUUUUAUCCCCUCUUCUAUUCAUUUUAGUAAUGGAUGUUUUGAGUAGAAUGAUGAAAGGGAUGGCGGAUAGGGGGUUUCAUCUCGGGGUUCUCUGUAGAUGGCUCCUCAAAUUGGUAGUCUAUCACGCUCUCAUCUACUUUUCGUUGACACCACGUUGAUUUUUUGUGAGCCGGAUCCUGAUCAGAUUUGCUCCCUAAGAGCCCUCUUGCUCUACUUUGAAGCAAUCUUUGGUCUCAAGGUGAAUCUAUCAAAAUUUGAAAUAGUUCUAGUUGGCUCAAUUAAUAACUUAAGUGACUUGGUUGCCAUUUUGGGCUGCAAGGUGUCGUCCUUGCCAUUGAAGUAUCUUGGACUCUCUCUAGGGCCCCCUCAUAAAUCUAAGGCAAUCUGGGAUGAGAUUGUUGAGAAGAUCGAGCGUAAACUAGCGGGAUGGAAGAGACUUUACUUGUCGAAAGGCGGUAGAACCACAUUAAUUAAGAGCACACUAUCCAAUCUCCCCACAUACUUUUUAUCUUUAUUUCCUUUGCUUGCAGGUGUGGUGUAUAGACUGGAGAAGAUUUUUCAUGAUUUCCUAUGGGGCAGUUUUGAGGACUGUGAAAAAAUUCCAUUUGAUUAAGUGGGAUAAGGUAUGCACACCUUUGUCCAAUGGCAGAUUGGGGGUUCGUAAUUUGAGAACUUUCAAUAAGGUUUUUCUAGGAAAAUGGUUAUGGCGGUGUCAUAGGGAAAGAGAUGCCCUUUGGAGGGAAAUUAUCGACGCUAAAUAUGGGAGCAUUUGGGGAGGUUGGUGCCCUAAUGAAGUAAGAGGGCCUUACGGCGUGGGUGUGUGGAAAUUUAUUCGUAAUGGUUGGGAAAACUUAAUUGCUAAUUGCAAGCUUGCGGUGGGUAGGGGCACACAAGUCAGAUUUUGGCACGACACUUGGUGUGGCGAUGUUGCAUUGAAGAUUGCUUUUCCCUCCCUUUUUAGGACCGCACUCAAUAAGGAUGCCUCAGUUGCUGAUAAUAUGGCCAUCUCCUCUAACUCCACCCAAUGGUUAGUGAGAUUUAUUAGAGCGGCACAGGACUGGGAAAUGGGAGAUAUUGCUGAUUUUUUCAGCGCGUUCUACGUGCUGAACUUCCAUGUAGAUGGAGAGGAUCGAUUGCUUUGGACAUCUAUAGGGAACAAGAACUUCUCAGUCCGAUCCUACUAUAAGGUAUUAUCGAUCCACCCCCCAUUGCAUUCCCUUGGAAGUUCAUAUGGAGGAGUAAUGCUCUCCUCAAUUUGGCUUUCUUUGGUUGGCUAGCAUCUCACGGGAAAAUAUUGACUAUUGACAAGCUGAGAAGGUGUGGCCUCUACUUAAUAGAUUGGUGCUUCAUGUGCAAACAUGACAGUGAAUCAGCAGAUCACCUUCUUCUUCAUUGCAAAGUAGUUAAGGCUUUAUGGGAUGAAAUAUUCACAAGGCUUGGUAUGGCAUGGGUAAUGCCUAAACGAGUGAUAGAGUUAUUGGCAUGCUGGAGAGGAUUCCGGGGCAAUAGGCAGAUCACGGCUAUUUGGAAGAUGGUGCCUCUAUGCCUAAUGUGGUGCACAUGGAAUGAGAGGAAUAGUCGUCGUUUCGAGGACAAGGAGUGCAUACCGGAAGGGUUUAGGGACUUUUUUUUAUCAUACUUUGUUACUUUGGGCUUCAUCUGUUGUAUUGAAUGGAACAUCUUUUAAUGACUUUUAUGCUGCUUUUCGCAGCACUUAGCUUGUAAUUAUGCUUUUUGUAUACUCCCUGUGUACUCAGGCCUUGCCUAAUUAUGUGGAUUAAUAAAAUCUUUUCUUACCUAUAUAAAAACAAAUUGCUAGAUAUCUUUUGGUGAUCGACCAUCUACAAUCUCCCAAUGUACAUAAACAAUUUAAUCAAUUUCUGGUCCUUUGACACAUGAUUGGAAAGUACAUUUAUUUUUCACAAUUUUUAGCUCCCGUACUCAAUUCAGUGUUUGUGAAAGUGUUAGGCGCACUUAAGCACAAACAAUUUCUAAAGCCUAGGUGCAAAGCACAAGCGCACGCCUGAAUGAAGUAAAGUGCAAGUAAUAAUAAAAAAAUUAAAAAUAGAAGUAUUUUUUUGUUUUACAGCCAACGUUGAAACGAAAAUGGAACAGCCAUCAUGUAGUGGCCAAAACUAGGCCACCCACAUGGUGGCUGAGCUUUACUUAAACAUAAUAUAAAUCUAUUGAUCUUUACGUAAUAUGCACAUAUACAAUACUUGAUAGCCACUCAUAAAAAAUAAUAUUUGAUAGCCAUAAUCAAAUUAAUGUACAUGGUUGAAUCAAAAUAUACCCGAAAAGCCACAACCAAGAAAGCUCAAGAAUUAUAGGUAUUGACUUCUAUGCUAACAUAAGCAAUCAAAUUAAUCCAUCUACUUUGAUUUUUAUAAUGUUCUAGGUCUUGAAGUGAUAAUUUUAUAAUUUUUUGUUAAAGUUUACAAAAGCGUGCUCUUCUACUCUUUGAGCCCACACCAAAAGCCACAAAAAGCGUGCUUUUGUAAAUGCGC